rnacentral:lncRNA from 1 species
GCAAUUUUCCUAUUGUUGUUAGUAUAUGACAAACUGUUAAUAUCUCGUUUCAAAAAUAACUAUUGUUCAUUGCACAAAAAAUUUAGAGAAUUGUGUUUUGUGGAUUUGAACUAUUUGUAUGUAUUGUGUUUGCGUUGAUUUGAUGUAAUGUGAUUUAUUCUCUAGUUCUUGAUUAUCUGAUGUUUGUUGAUCUCUAAUACUUGAUUCCUCUGAAGUUCACCAAUAUUUAGUACACUACAAGAAAGGGGGACUCUCCCGACGCAUAAAAUCGUCGGAAGAUAUUUGAAAUGCGUCGGAAGCGUCGGGACAUGCGCUGGAUAAUGUGUCGGGAGAGAAAUUUUCGAUGCACUUGCAUCGAAAAUUUCUAAACAUCUCCCAAUGUUGAAUGAACGUCGAAGGAUGAUAUUAAUACGGCAUCGGGAGAUGUCGCGAAACUCCCGAUGCACAACGAAAACGUCAGGAAUAGCGCCCUAUUCCCGACGCGAUUAGUGACAUGUUGGAAAUCCCUAAACUAUUUUCGACAUUGCGACACCACGUCGGAGGAAGGCGUAACGUACAAUUAAUGAUCUACUCUUCCUCCGACGCAACACUGUAGACGUCGGGAAUAGGUGCACAUUUCCCGACACACCUGGCACCACGUCGGAGGAAGGCCAAACGAUACAAUUAAUUGUCCACCAUCUUUCGAUGCUACACUUUCCACGUCGGGAAUAGUGACCCAUUUUCCGACGUACCUCACACCGCGUCGGAGGAAUCCUAAACCUAUUACAGUCAGUUUUGACGUUAAUGUGUCUGCGUCGAAAGAAAUACCUUCCUCUGACAUGCACCAAGAUGCGUCGGAAAACACCGGCUUCUACCGACGUCAUGUUUCUUGUCAAGUUUUCCUGCGUCAGGAAACUCUCGAUUUCUUGUAGUGGUACUUGAUCCUUUGCAAGAAUUCUCUCCUCCUUUAUUCAUAAACUUAUCUUAUGGGUUUGUGCUUGGUUGGUUCAUGUACAAAACCCCCCUAAAUCCAACCAUGCGCGUGAGACUUUUAGUCUAAAUUACACGUUCAUUGUAUGCCCUUUUCAAAAUCAAUUAUUUACUAGCCUUUAAA